rnacentral:lncRNA from 1 species
CUAACAAACAGAGGAUUGCAAUGAAACCAACCAUGACUGGAUAAACGUGUUUUUAGCGGGAGUAAUUACAUCGAAUGCUUCGUGGAAAGUUGAAGGAGUCGGAAUUCAUGACACUAGCCGUUUAGAAAAUGUUUUGUGUUAUGCUAUAAAAAUGGAUUUUAUCGAACAAACUGGGCCUUUUGUAUCACCAAAAGAAGAAGAUCUUCAAAGGUGUGAAUGGAUGGGGCAGGUACAGUAGCUGCAGAAAGAGUAUAAAACAGGGCUGCAGAGAGCAGAGAGACACCACACUACUACUGAAGACCAGAAGACAUCAUCCAGAUAAACAGCCAUCAAUCAGACAGCAUCGUCCAACUGUAAGAGUGGGUGUCCUGUUAGCAAGCUCCCUCAAUGAAGAUAACUCUGAGGAAGCUCUCCUGCAGGAGGAUGAUCUAAAAAGUGGAAAGGCUGCAUUUUUGGCAAAGUUGGCUGCUCUGAAGACCAGCGCCUCUGAAGAUGAAGCACCAUUUUGGAGCGUGCUUUGGAACAAAGCCAAGGAAAUUGUGGGGUGAGAAGAGACCAGAAUUGGGAUGCCGAGGAUCCUUUUCAGUCUCCAUAUGGAAUCAACUAUCACCUCUGAAGACAUCACUAACAAUACCUCAAUGAAUCAUUCCAACAUCCAUCCAUCAAUCACUGACUAACAAAAAACAAAACAGUAAUACAGUUCUUUGGUACUUUGGUACUGAGAAGAACUCAUCAACAUAAUGAAGAAUAUAUGUUUUAUCCAUAAACGUACUUUAUGUCCUGACACAUGGUCGUUUUUUCGUCAAGACAGCGGA